rnacentral:misc_RNA from 1 species
AACGCACCUUGCGCUCCUUGGUAUUCCGAGGAGCAUGCCUGUUUGAGUGUCAUGAAAUUCUCAACCUUUCUAGCUUUUAUAGCUUGUCAGGCUUGGAUUGUGGAAGUUGCUGGUUCAAGUACGAAUCAGCUCUUCUUAAAUGUAUUAGCAGUAACCUUUGCUGACCAUCUUUGGUAUGAUAAUUAUCUAUAUCAUUGAAAAUCAGCGUCCUCCCAAGGAAAGGCUUCGCUUCUAAUAGUCUUUUAGACAACUUGACAACUUUGACCUCAAAUCAGGUAGGACUACCCGCUGAACUUAA